CCUACGGGGAGGCAGCAGUGGGGAAUAUUGGACAAUGGGCGAAAGCCUGAUCCAGCCAUGCCGCGUGUGUGAAGAAGGCCUUCGGGUUGUAAAGCACUUUCAGUGGGGAAGAAAGCCUUGGGGCUAAUACCCUCGAGGAAGGACAUCACCCACAGAAGAAGCACCGGCUAACUCCGUGCCAGCAGCCGCGGUAAUACGGAGGGUGCGAGCGUUAAUCGGAAUUACUGGGCGUAAAGCGCGCGUAGGCGGUCUGAUAAGCCGGUUGUGAAAGCCCCGGGCUCAACCUGGGAACGGCAUCCGGAACUGUCAGGCUAGAGUGCAGGAGAGGAAGGUAGAAUUCCCGGUGUAGCGGUGAAAUGCGUAGAGAUCGGGAGGAAUACCAGUGGCGAAGGCGGCCUUCUGGACUGACACUGACGCUGAGGUGCGAAAGCGUGGGUAGCAAACAGGAUUAGAUACCCUGGUAGUC
rnacentral:rRNA from 1 species